AUAUAAUGUUUAUAAAACCUUUAUAUAAGCUUAAUAAUAUGGUUUAAGCGUUUCUACCACAUCACCGUAAAUGGUGUGAUUAUUUAGGAUAUUUCCAUAAGA
rfam:Clostridium ventriculi strain 2789STDY5834858 genome assembly, contig: SCcontig000002